rnacentral:rRNA from 1 species
UCCUACGGGAGGCAGCAGUAAGGAAUAUUGGUCAUGGAGGCACUCUGAACCAGCCAUGCCGCGUGGAGGAUGAAGGUCCUCUGGAUUGUAAACUUCUUUUAUACGGGACGAAAAAAGGGUUUUCUAACUCGUCUGACGGUACCGUAUGAAUAAGCACCGGCUAACUCCGUGCCAGCAGCCGCGGUAAUACGGAGGGUGCAAGCGUUAUCCUGGAUUCACUGGGUUUAAAGGGUGCGUAGGUGGGUUGGUAAGUCAGUGGUGAAAUCCCCGAGCUUAACUUGGGAACUGCCAUUGAUACUAUCAGUCUUGAAUACCGUGGAGGUCGGCGGAAUAUAUCAUGUAGCGGUGAAAUGCUUAGAUAUGACAUAGAACACCAAUUGCGAAGGCAGCUGGCUACGCGGAUAUUGACACUGAGGCACGAAAGCGUGGGGAUCAAACAGGAUUAGAUACCCUGGUAGUCCACGCCCUAAACUAUGGAUACUCGACAUUUGCUGAUAAACUGUAAGUGUCUGAGCGAAAGCAUAAGUAUCCCACGCUGGGAAGUACGAUCGCAAGAUUGAAACUYAAAGGAAUUGACGG